AGUUUGAUCCUGGCUCAGAAUCAACGCUGGCGGCGUGCCUCAGACAUGCAAGUCGAACGAUUAAACUUCUCUUCGGAGAAGAUAUAAAGUGGCGCACGGGUGAGUAACACGUAGGUAAUGUACCUUUGGGUGGGGAAUAACUUAGGGAAACUUAAGCUAAUACCGCAUAAUGCAGCGGCUCCUUCGGGAGACAGUUGUUAAAGAUUUAUCGCCUAAAGAGCAGCCUGCGGCAGAUUAGCUAGUUGGUAAGGUAACGGCUUACCAAGGCUACGAUCUGUAUCCGACCUGAGAGGGUGGUCGGACACACUGACACUGAAUAACGGGUCAGACUCCUACGGGAGGCAGCAGUCGGGAAUUUUGGGCAAUGGGCGAAAGCCUGACCCAGCAACGCCGCGUGAAGGAUGAAGUCUUUCGGGAUGUAAACUUCGUAAGAAUAGGAAGAAUAAAUGACGGUACUAUUUGUAAGGUCCGGCUAACUACGUGCCAGCAGCCGCGGUAAUACGUAGGGACCAAGCGUUGUUCGGAUUUACUGGGCGUAAAGGGCGCGUAGGCGGCGUGACAAGUCAAUUGUGAAAUCUCCGGGCUUAACUCGGAACGGUCAAUUGAUACUGUUGUGCUAGAGUACAGAAGGGGCAAUCGGAAUUCUUGGUGUAGCGGUGAAAUGCGUAGAUAUCAAGAGGAACACCUGAGGUGAAGACGGGUUGCUGGGCUGAUACUGACGCUGAGGCGCGAAAGCUAGGGUAGCAAACGGGAUUAGAUACCCCGGUAGUCCUAGCCCUAAACGAUGAAUACUUGGUGUCUGGAGUUUUAUUCUCCGGGUGCCGUCGCUAACGUUUUUAGUAUUCCGCCUGGGGAGUACGCACGCAAGUGUGAAACUCAAAGGAAUUGACGG
rnacentral:rRNA from 1 species